UUUUUAGUGGUUUUGAUGGUGGUGGUGGUGGUACUAGUGAUUGAACUCAAGGCUUUCAUACUGAGCUACAUGCCUAGCCCUUUCUUGUAUUUUUUAUUUUUAUUUAUUUUUAUCGGUACCGGGGAUUGAACUCACGACCUCACGCUUGCAAGGCAGGUGCUUUUGCCACUGAGCUAAAUCCCCAGCCCCUUGUAUUUUUUAUUUUAAAGCAAAGUUUUGCUAAAUCACUAAAUUGCCUGAGUUGAGCUCAAGCUUUUGACUUUCCUGCCUCAGCCUCCCAGAGCUCUGGGAUUACAGAUCUGUCCCAUUGCACCUGAUGUGAAAGAUUCUUGAAUGGCAUAUUCUACCAUCCUCUAUAGCAGAUGAUAAUACAAACACUCACCGCUGCUCUUUAGCUAUUAUAGUAAUCCCAGGGCUUUUCUACUUUGUCAUAUAAAUUGCUAUCAUCUUGUAAACGCUGGGGACAGAUAUGCUUAUUUUACCCACAGGGGAAACUGAGGUGCUUCUAGAAAGAAAAAGGCGGGGCCUGGUUGUGGUCCAGGGAUGGUGAGUGAUCUGGUAGGAGGCUGAUAGAACAGUUGAGCUGCAGCUCACCAUCUCAGCUAGGUUGAGGUGCAGACCUAGCGGUCCUGAGCCAUCAUGGGGCACAGUGCUGCAGGGCCAGGUGCCCGCGAGCCAGGUUGAGGGAACCCACAAAACCUGAGGUCCGGCAGCAGCAGCGUGAGAGCACAGGGCUCAGACAGCAACUCGUGCCUUCUUGGAGGCUGCACCUACACCAGCACCCGCGCGGGUCACGGUGUCCCCGCCCCAACUCAGGCCGCAGUGGCAGCGGCGUGGGCGGCCAGGCCCAGGGUAGCAGACGGUGCCCAGCGGUAGGUAUCCGCCCGCGCGGAAGCUGCCGCCUUCGGCCUUAAUUUAGGGCGGCAGGAUCAGCACGGAGUCUUCCUUACACUCACCGCCCUCAUGGCAGCGGUUGCCACCCGCACCUCGACCCAUAGCUCUCUGGAGGGCGAGUACAGCGGGCCCGCGACGCUGGGGUGGGCAGAGAUGGAGACCCGGGGACCGACAGCGAGGCACAGAAAAGGGAGUGCAGGACGAGAAAAAAGUUGAGAGCGAGAUUCUUCAUUCCAAGAAUACAGGAAAAUCCUGAGUCCUGAAGCACAAUGUAUUCAGGACCAUGGCCAGCAACCAGCCACACUGAGUGUGCGCAAAAUGCAAGCACCCUCUGGGACUACCCGCUUCCUUCUCAGCAGAUCCCGCAAAGUUUGGGUAUGAGCAGCUACCUGGUCCGUGUGUGGCCCUGGGCAAAGAUUUAGUGCCUUUAACCUUCAAAUACCUUCUCUAUAAAAUUGAGAUAAUAAAAAGACUUGCCUCCA